rnacentral:rRNA from 1 species
GAGUUUGAUCUUGGCUCAGAUUGAACGCUGGCGGCAUGCCUUACACAUGCAAGUCGAACGGCAGCACGGGAGCUUGCUCCUGGUGGCGAGUGGCGAACGGGUGAGUAAUGCAUCGGAACGUAUCCUGGAGUGGGGGAUAACGUAGCGAAAGUUACGCUAAUACCGCAUAUUCUGUGAGCAGGAAAGCGGGGGACCUUCGGGCCUCGCGCUCUUGGAGCGGCCGAUGUCGGAUUAGCUAGUUGGUGAGGUAAAGGCUCACCAAGGCGACGAUCCGUAGCAGGCCUGAGAGGAUGAUCUGCCACACUGGAACUGAGACACGGUCCAGACUCCUACGGGAGGCAGCAGUGGGAAUUUUGGACAAUGGGGGCAACCCUGAUCCAGCCAUGCCGCGUGAGUGAAGAAGGCCU